rnacentral:rRNA from 1 species
GACGAACGCUGGCGGCGUGCCUAAUACAUGCCAGUCGAGCGAAGUUUUUCUGGUGCUUGCACUAGAAAAACUUAGCGGCGAACGGGUGAGUAACACGUAAAGAACCUGCCUCAUAGACUGGGACAACUAUUGGAAACGAUAGCUAAUACCGGAUAACAGCAUUAACUGCAUGGUUGAUGUUUGAAAGUUGGUUUUGCUAACACUAUGAGAUGGCUUUGCGGUGCAUUAGCUAGUUGGUGGGGUAAAGGCCUACCAAGGCGACGAUGCAUAGCCGACCUGAGAGGGUGAUCGGCCACACUGGGGCUGAGACACGGCCCAGACUCCUACGGGAGGCAGCAGUAGGGAAUCUUCCGCAAUGGGCGAAAGCCUGACGGAGCAACGCCGCGUGAGUGAAGAAGGAUUUCGGUUCGUAAAGCUCUGUUGUUAGGGAAGAAUGAUUAUGUAGUAACUAUACAUAGUAGAGACGGUACCUAACCAGAAAGCCACGGCUAACUACGUG